rnacentral:rRNA from 1 species
CUCCUACGGGAGGCAGCAGUGGGGAAUAUUGCACAAUGGGCGCAAGCCUGAUGCAGCCAUGCCGCGUGUGUGAAGAAGGCCUUCGGGUUGUAAAGCACUUUCAGCGAGGAGGAAAGCUUAAGCGUUAAUAGCGUUUAGGUGUGACGUUACUCGCAGAAGAAGGACCGGCUAACUUCGUGCCAGCAGCCGCGGUAAUACGAGGGGUCCAAGCGUUAAUCGGAAUUACUGGGCGUAAAGCGUACGCAGGCGGUUUGUUAAGCGAGAUGUGAAAGCCCCGGGCUCAACCUGGGAAUUGCAUUUCGAACUGGCAGACUAGAGUCUUGUAGAGGGGGGUAGAAUUUCAGGUGUAGCGGUGAAAUGCGUAGAGAUCUGAAGGAAUACCGGUGGCGAAGGCGGCCCCCUGGACAAAGACUGACGCUCAGGUACGAAAGCGUGGGGAGCAAACAGGAUUAGAUACCCUGGUAGUCCACGCCGUAAACGAUGUCUACUCGGAGUUUGGUGCCUUGAGCACUGGGCUCCCAAGCUAACGCAUUAAAGUAGACCGCCUGGGGAGUACGGCCGCAAGGUUAAAACUCAAAUGAAUUGACGG